rnacentral:rRNA from 1 species
AAAGGAAUUGACGGGGGCCCGCACAAGCAGCGGAGCAUGUGGUUUAAUUCGAAGCAACGCGAAGAACCUUACCAAGGCUUGACAUCCAACUAAGCCCAUGGAAACAUGGGGUGCCUUCGGGCAAGUUGAGACAGGUGGUGCAUGGUUGUCGUCAGCUCGUGUCGUGAGAUGUUGGGUUAAGUCCCGCAACGAGCGCAACCCCUAUUACCAGUUACCAGCACGUAAAGGUGGGAACUCUGGUGAGACUGCCGGGGACAACUCGGAGGAAGGUGGGGAUGACGUCAAAUCAUCAUGCCCCUUAUGUCUUGGGCUACACACGUGCUACAAUGGCUGUAACAAAGGGAAGCGAAGUCGUAAGGCUGAGCGGAUCUCAGAAAAGCAGUCCCAGUUCGGAUUGUGGGCUGCAACCCGCCCACAUGAAGUCGGAGUUGCUAGUAAUCGCGGAUCAGAAUGCCGCGGUGAAUACGUUCCCGGGCCUUGUACACACCGCCCGU